GUUUCCGUAGGUGAACCUGCGGAAGGAUCAUAG
rnacentral:rRNA from 1 species